rnacentral:rRNA from 1 species
CAUGUAGGCGGAUAUGCAAGCUUGGUGUGAAAGGCAGGGGCUUAACUCCUGGACUGCGUUUGAGAACUGCAUAACUAGAGUAACUGAGGGGCAACCGGAAUUCCAGGUGUAGGGGUGAAAUCUGUAGAUAUCUGGAAGAACACCAAUGGCGAAGGCAGGUUACCAGCAGAUUACUGACGCUGAGGUGCGAAGGUGCGGGGAGCAAACA